GGGAUUCCCUUAGUAGGGGCGACCGAAACGGGAAGAGCCCAGCGCAGAACCUCCCAGGCCACCCGGCCUGCGGCGGAAUGUUGCGUUAAGGGAGAGGUCGUAGAUAAACCCACUGGCCGCGAGAACGCUUAGUUGUGCACUGAUUGGCUGAAGCCUUUUAACAUUGGCUGACUCCACGGAGGGUGAAAGACCCGUGUGCGCUCGCGAAACGCCAGUCGGGCUCGGCUUCUCCUUGAGAGUCGCGUUGCUUGAACGUGCAGCGCUUAGCAGGUCGUAAACUCGAUCUAAGGCUAAAUAUAUCCACAGGACCGAUAGCUGACAAGUACCGUGAGGGAAAGUUGAAAAGAACUCUGAACAGAGAGUCAAAAGGACGCGAAGCCGCUCAGAGUAUAAGCCUAUGGUAACUGGAAGUAUGGCAGAUGCGAUGUCCGCGCUUGCUCUCUCGGGAGCGGGCCUCCGGACUGGGGGAGACUUCGAAGGUGGCAAGAGGGCCCAUUUGGUUGGGUUCCCUCCUGGUGCGCCGGGCGGGUGUUCUGAUGGCGGGACGCGCUUGCGCGUGCUCGUCUCCUCCUGCCCUUCAGUGCGCGAGUUGUCUCCUUCGCCAGACGCAUCAUCUUGCCCACCACAGCCUGUUGUCGGGUCACCCACGGGCCUGCGCCGCGCACGCCAUCGGCUCGGCUCGCUCACGCAUAGACUGUCGCAAACUGUGCGUGUCACGACACACGCAAUGACAGGCUGCAGCGAGCUUUGCCCUUGCGGGCGAGUCGGUGUGCGCAGCUGGCUUUCUCGUCAAAGAGAAGUCAGUGCAGUGUCCCGGUACGAUCCCGGUGCGACAGCUGUUUCCUGAACUGCGCUCGAACCCCGGGGCGCGCCCUCAUUUGCCGAGGGUGCCCUCU
rnacentral:rRNA from 1 species